ACAAAGCCUUAUUUCUCCGCUUCAGAACAUCAUAGAGACACGGGGGUUGGACCGUUUUACUUGUGGCUUGAAGGUUGAUCAUUAUGGGAUGCCAAUUUUCUCCCUAGCAACCGAACUAAGUACCCUAGCAACGGAAUAAACAAAGCCUUAUAUCUCCGCUUCAGAACAUCAUAGAGACACGGGGGGUUGGACCGUUUUACUUGUGGCUUGAAGGUUGAUCAUUAUGGGAUGCCAAUUUUCUCCCUAGCAACCAAACUUAGUACCCUAGCAACGGAAUAAACAAAGCCUUAUAUCUCCGCUUCAGAACAUCAUAGAGACACGGGGGUUGGACCGUUUUACUUGUGGCUUGAAGGUUGAUCAUUAUGGGAUGCCAAUUUUCUCCCUAGCAACCAAACUUAGUACCCUAGCAAUGGAAUAAAUGUUAGCUUCAUUCUAGCUUCAUGCUAAUCAUGCUAGCAUCAUGCUAGCUUCAUGCUAAUCAUGUAAGCUUCAUGUUAGCUUCAUGCUAAUCAUGUUAGCUUCAUGCUAGCUUCAUACUGAUCAUGCUAACAUCAUGCUAGCUUCAUGCUAAUCAUGCUAGCUUCAUGCUAAUCAUGCUAACUUCAUGCUAAUCAUGCUAACAGCCAGAUAGCCUACUAAAAUAAACUUCUGUCAAACCAUUUUAAAUGUUCAGGCUACGCUUUUUCAAGCCAACAUAAAGUUUGUCCUCAAACUUUAAAAUCUAGUUUAAUGUAAAUUUUUAUCAAAUGUACUAAGUAACUACCUGACCUAGUUUAUUUAUGAACAGUUUGGAACGUAAUGUUUUUGUUGGAUCACAUAAAUAAAGGUGUCUUUUACAAAAACGUUAUCGAUUAAACAGGUUCUUGCCAUCUUGUUUAAUUCCUCAAGAACACCUCAGAAAACCAACAAAUGCUUACUUAAUAACACCAUUACCAUGUCUCACAUCCAUCCACAAGUGCUAUCAAAAAAGACAAUAGUCCUAAAAGGACUUGUGUUUUUCAGUCUCACCGUAUACACUUACUGUAAUCACUGAUAUUGAUAUUUCGACAGCAAAGAAGAAUAAAUGUGCUGGGUUUCAUUUUUUUUUUUUUUUGCCGUUGUUUAUUUGUUAGUCUUGCGUGAAAAUUGCAUCUCUCAAUGUGACGCACAAAGCAGCAAUCAUUCUCCAGAAGCCAGUCGAUAUUAUUUGUGCUAUUCAGAAAAGUGAUGGAGGAGGACGUGCGAGCAGUGAAGGAAAGACACAACUCGCCCCAGCUUCAUAAAUCAAAAGGGCCACAUUACACUAGAAGAGAGUGAUUUUGUAGCAAAAUUGAAAACCUGUUGAGGUCUCGAGCAAAGUCAACUGCCGUUGACAGAUAAAUGUGCAGAAAAUGAAAAGUAGACAAUCAAAUAAAUUAGGAAAAAACUGCAACACACCAAGAAAAGUUUUAAUAAAAACUAAACUGGUAAAGUUUACUUGCCUCCAAGUUUGUGAGGCAAUGUGAGCUUAUGGUUAAGAUUUUAAUCGAAGACAUUGAUUUUUUCAUUUGUGCCACUGAUCUCAAGCAGAUCUGAUCUCAUUCCUUUGUACCAAAGGGCAAAAGGUUGCUUAACAAAGCUACACUCUAAAAAACAUUGGGUUGUUUUUUCAACCCAACUGCUGGGUUGAGCCAGUUGGGUUAUUUUGUUGGGUUGUUUUAUCAGUGUUGGGUAGUUUUUGUGUAACCCAACUUGUUGGGUUAUAUGUUGGGUAAUUUUGAAGCAGAGCCAACUUAAUGGAUAUAUAUAGCUGUUUCUCAAUAUAACUUUCUCUAGUCCACAAAAUGUAUUUUAAACAUAAGUUCAGGCGAGAAUAUAUAUGUGUAAUGUUCAAAUUUGCAGUCGGUUUGUAAAGUGAAUGCCAAUUUUAAAGUUUAAUUACACAAAGUCGGAAUGUUACCGGCGUGACCACCGGGUGUCAGUGUUCUGCUUCCCCAGAAAGAACUUCUCCCUUCCCCCACACAGACGCGUCAGACUCGGACUCCAGCCACAGCAACAACGGAAUUUACUCACCUCAGGAUUCAUGAACGGUUUUUCAUCGACUUAUCUUUGAUUUAUUUGAAGGAAAAGACCCUGAUGGAUAAAAGAUGAAUAUUUUUUCCUGGAGAAGCUAAAACAAUGUAACUUUGAGGUUCUGAUACCAGCUUUUACAAAGUUAUUUACAGAGUUCACAAGACUUCUCUGUGUUAUUUCCUGCCCAUGCCGAAAAGCUAUUUGAAACCUGGGCAUUGCAUUUUACAGACAGAAUCCUGCAACUUCCCAGCCAAGAACCAGGAGCAUCAACAAAUCACCUCCAGAACCCCAUGAUGAUAUUCCAACUCAUUUCUACAAAAGUGGGAAGAAAAUCUUAAGUCUAUGUUGGGACCAACAUGGUUGCAUUCUUCUGAGAGGCUGAGGUGACAAAACCAUUCCCAUUUGUCCUUGGAUUGGAAGAUGACGAUCUCUGCCAUUAAGCCUUCGUUGUUUUUGACAGACAGUCACUCCAGCAAUGCACCCUCCUUGGUGAUGUUGACAUGUUUUAAACUUUUUUUUAUGUUUUGGACAUUAAUUUUACUAAGCAGUGCACAUCAGUGUUGGUGUUUUUGAAGACUGUUGUUUACAAACUCCCAAGAACGGAAUCCCUUUCUAUAAGAAGUCUGUGUAGUUAUUUGUCAUGCUAAAAUUAUAACUCAUGUUGAUCAUAUAUUGACUGUUUGUGCAACUUAGUGUUGAUCUUAUGUGUUACAUUAACCAUUUCUUAUUACACGGUUCUCUAAAAUGCUAGAUUCUGAUUGGCCAGUCGUGACAUUCUACUACUGCUCAAAACUAAAAACUCCAAUGCUGCAAAUCAUUUUGACAGGUACAGUUUUAUAUUACACAAAAAUUAAAUAGCUAUGUCUAUUAAUUACAUAUCCGACAUUAAAUUUACAAAUGAUUAAACCAAUGUGUUCAUGACAUUUGUCCUGUAGAAACUGUCGGGGCUUUUUUCUGUGAUGACAUGCUGCCAAUACAUUAUCCCUUACUUGUACAACUAUUUACUUGAUCUAAUUGUAAUGUUAACUGGGUAUCUGUCAUAUUAGAUUGUGAGAUAUAAUACUCAUAUAUUUUUUAUCAGAAAGUUGAUUGUUUGUGUAGGGCUAUGUACUCUUUUAUUGUUCAUGUGCAAUAAAUAUGCUUUUUCAAUUAAAUCGAUGUUUUUUUAUUUAUAGACACCACAAUGAAAGGUAUGAAAGCAAUUUAAACCACAAAAUUUCAGCUUUAAACACAUUAACCAAACAU